CACACACACACACACACACACACACACACACACACACACACACACACACACACACACACACACACACACACACACACACACACACUAUAUGUAUACACUUAUAUAAUUUAUUGUAAUUAUUUGGAAGCGUCUCUUUUAAAGUCACAUGAUUAUUUAUUUGACAACUAGUCAGUGCUAAUCCCAGCGUAGUGAUAUCCCAUGUCUUUGCUAGGUGUCCGUUAUCUCCAAUUUUUAAGAGCUGGAGAUUGGUGGUCUAAAUCAUUUAUAGAACUCAAAAAGAAUCAAGAGCAGAAUCUGAUAAAAGAAAAAGUGGAAAUUUAGUAUUAAAUUGCAUAUAUAUGUAGAUUAUACUAAUCUCUAUUAUUGCAAACUUGUAUUUUGACCUGGGCCUCUUGCAUAUGUAUAGAAACUUUAUUGUCUUGCCAGCCAAGACCGAACUCCAGUUGCUGCUUUGGUUGUAAUACAACUGGAAUGACUGGAGUGAAUCAUCCAAUGAUUCUCUUCAUCAUGUGACCUGAGAUUGUUAAAUAAGCCUUGUUCACCGUCAUCGGGCCUAAUCUAUGCGGUGUGACCACGCCUUUAGUUUCCUCUGAGUAAGUAGAAAAGUCUCAAAUAUGAAUAUAAAAAAAAGGUUAGAUUUGUUUGAUAGUGCAAAUCAGACAUAUAUAUAUGGUUUUUGAUUUGUAUUUUUUUUUUUUUUUCUUUUUUUUUUUACUUAAGAGAAUCAAACAAAUCUGCCAAAUUCUAAGUAUAUUACAUGCAUUUCUUAGCUCUAUUAAAAUAAGCAAAUUGCAGUUAUAAGUGUUAUUGUUGAGUGCCUACGGGAAUUGUCUGUAAAACCUCGCUAUCACUGCUCUGCUAAGAGUAUAUAGGUAAUUUCCAUGAUGGUUGCAAGGCAUAUUGGUCAGAAGUCAGGAUUGUCUCUCUGAUGACCUGGGAUCGAGUCUUGGUCAGGGAGGUAAAAUUUGUAUUUAUAUAUAUAUGUAUGUAUAUAUAUAUAUAUAUAUAUACAUAUAUAUAUAUAUAUAUAUAUAUAUAUAUAUAUAUAUAUAUAUAUAUAUAUAUAUAUAUAUAUAUAUAUAUAUAUAUAUAUAUAUAUAUAUAUAUAUAUAUAUAUAUAUAUAUAUAUAUAUAUAUGGAUAUAUUUGUAUGUAUGAAUAGCAUUAUGAUGUAGUAUUUAAGAAACUGAAAGUUGUAUUCAAAUAAUUUUUAUGGGGUUAAUUUAAAGGUAUCAAAGUAUAAGACAGGUUUGCUAUUACUAUUACUCUACAUAUUUUAUAACUAAUAAACUUUCAAGAAAUUAAGGUUGUUAUUAUAAGAGGACUCUGUAAAUAUUGUGUCCUAUAUAUUUAACUACUCAGGUUAUGCAUUAUGCAAUAGAUAUGUAUAUGAAACAAACCGAAGAUACAUCUUAUCAAAAUGAACUGUUUGUUACAUUUUGUAUAAAGAACAUACCCAGUUACUAUUAUAUAAUGUUUCUUGCCAAAGAUUUCUUGCCAGAUGUCAUAUUUAUAUGAUGUUUUUCUAUCAGUUUUGGUUCUUGUAAAUUGAAUUUUGUUUUUUCAAAAUGUAUGUAUUUUUGGUCACAAGUACCGAUUCACAGCCUAUAACUUUAAGUCUAGGGCUUUCCUUUCUUUGUAAAAAUAAUUUCUUGGAAAAGACAAGUAAAAUCUUUCUGCUGUAGUUC
rnacentral:lncRNA from 1 species